AAUCACACUAAAUUCCACAAGAUGAUUUGAUUCCUUUAUCGUCCUUUCCCCGCACUCAUUCAUGUUCAACGCCCACUUCUGCUCUCUUCAUCCUCUGUUUUUCUCACUCCCCCAUUUUCAUCUAUAAAAUAAUAAACCAGAAAACAAACAAGGAAACCCCACAACUCACAAAGCCACAAAUUUCUUUCAUUAAGUUCAGCAGUGCUUGCUUAGUACUGUUUUCCAUGGGGAACAUGCAAAUUAUUGCUAUGUCUUUGGCCAUGUGAUCUUUGACCACCCAAAUAUAACAUUGUUCAAGAAAAAAAAGAUUAUAUUUUUCUUUCUGCUCUUGUUUGCCUCUUCAUACCUUUGGGUUUGGAACUACAAAGUUAGAAGAUAGUACUGUUAUUAACUAGCUAAGACCAGAUGGCACUUAAUAUCCUAUCUCCAGCUGAAAUCAAGGCCAUCUCUUUCUUGGAUUCUACUAAAUCCAAUCGCCUACCUAAGCUUCAAGGUGGGCUUAGUUUGAAGAGGAAGGAUUGUGGGGGAAGAAGAAUUCAGUGUUCAGUUCAGAAUCAGAAUCAGAAUCAGCCACCUCCAGCUUGGCCAGGAAGAGCCUGUCCAGAAGCUGGACGCAAGACAUGGGAUGGUCCUAAGCCUAUAUCAAUUGUUGGAUCUACUGGUUCCAUCGGAACGCAGACUUUGGACAUUGUAGCGGAGAAUCCAGAUAAAUUCAAAGUUGUGGCACUCGCAGCUGGGUCAAAUGUUACUCUUCUUGCAGAUCAGGUGAGGACAUUCAAACCUCAACUGAUUGCUGUUAGAAACGAGUCAUUAGUUGAUGAACUCAAAGAGGCCCUGGCUGAUGUUGAGGAAAAGCCUGAGAUUAUUCCUGGGGAGCAAGGAGUUGUAGAGGUUGCUCGUCAUCCAGAUGCUGUCAGGGGAGUUACAGGAAUAGUAGGUUGCGCAGGCCUAAAGCCUACGGUUGCUGCAAUAGAAGCUGGAAAAGACAUAUGCUUGGCCAAUAAAGAGACACUAAUUGCUGGAGGUCCUUUUGUCCUCCCUCUUGCUCACAAAUAUAACGUAAAAAUUCUUCCAGCUGAUUCUGAACAUUCUGCCAUUUUUCAGUGUAUUCAAGGCCUGCCGGAGGGUGCAUUGCGGCGCAUCAUUUUAACUGCUUCUGGUGGGGCUUUCAGGGAUUGGCCUGUUGAGAAGUUGAAAGAAGUUAAAGUAGCUGAUGCUUUGAAGCAUCCCAACUGGAAUAUGGGUAAAAAGAUUACUGUAGACUCUGCUACCCUUUUCAACAAGGGUUUAGAAGUCAUUGAAGCCCACUAUUUGUUCGGAGCUGAAUAUGAUAAUAUUGAUAUCAUAAUUCAUCCACAGUCUAUAAUACAUUCAAUGAUUGAAACACAGGACUCAUCUGUUCUCGCACAGUUGGGGUGGCCUGAUAUGCGCUUGCCUAUCCUUUACACGAUGUCAUGGCCAGACAGAGUUUACUGUUCUGAAAUUACUUGGCCUCGCCUAGAUCUUUGCAAGCUUGGAUCACUAACUUUUAAAGCUCCUGACAAUGUAAAAUACCCAUCUAUGGAUCUUGCUUAUGCUGCUGGACGAGCUGGAGGCACCAUGACAGGAGUCCUCAGUGCUGCUAAUGAGAAAGCUGUAGAAAUGUUCAUAGAUGAAAAGAUAAGCUAUCUUGACAUUUUCAAGGUUGUGGAGCUAACAUGUGAUAAGCACCAGGCAGAAUUAGUGGUCUCACCCUCUCUUGAGGAAAUUAUACAUUAUGACUUGUGGGCUCGAGAAUAUGCUGCUACCCUGCAGCACUCUUCUGGUCCAAGUCCUGUUUUUGCUUGAUUGGACCACAUGCCAACGUCAUACAAGCAUCUAUUCGGCCCUGGCAAGACCCUGCCAAAACUGGCAUUCUUACAGUUUAAGCGCUUGCACAAGUGUAUACUGAGAUAGGCAACCAGAACAUGAGAUAGGCAACCAGAAUAUGUCCCAGUUUAAGUGCUUCCAUAGUGCAUUUCUUGCAUACUUAAGGAUCGUGAAAGUUAUGGCAAUAAAACCCCAAAGAAAUGCAUUUUGCAGAAAAGUUAAGAUCUGGGGAUUGAAUAACAGUA